rnacentral:lncRNA from 1 species
UAGGGUCAAUCAGACAGCUCUCGAAAAGAUCCGCUGCAGGGAUGUUAAGGUGACGGCACUUCGUGGUUCUUGACAGACGUCACAGCCAUAGAUAGGAGCAAAUGGGAUGAACUUGCACUUCGAAUCACCUGAAAGUCUGCCAGGCACACGCUUUCCACCUCCUUGGAGUGGGCAAAACCAUGAGUUCGCACUUCCUAACGUUGGGCAUCAGCCCAAAAACGGAACUGAGAUCCCUAACAACAUCGAGCAGAGCCUGCAUGCGUUACAAGGAUGUACCCAGCAGGCUGUGGUCAUCAGCGUAAAGCAAUAGUAA